AGAAAGACGAUGAGAGGGACCAGUACACCUCUUCAGCCACGGCAGAGAGCUGGCGGAUGGUGCAAGGCAGUGGUGGCGUGGAAGUAGAACUCUCCCUUGAGUAGCUGACCCAACGCGUCAGGGCGAUUGCGGAUCGGGAUUUUGCGGGUGACCGUAACUCCGCCGGAAUGUCGUCACUGGGUGCCAGUAGGCUCAGACGGAGCUUCCGCCGUUAGAAGGAAGGGGAUAU
rnacentral:sRNA from 1 species